CAGCCGCCGCGGGAAUACGGAGGGGGCUAGCGUUGUUCGGAAUUACUGGGCGUAAAGCGCACGUAGGCUGCUCGAUAAAUUAGAAGUGAAAGCCUUGGGCUUAACCUGAGAAUUGCUUUUAAGACUGUCGAGCUAGAAUCCAGAAGAGGGUAGUGGAAUUCCGAGUGUAGAGGUGAAAUUCGUAGAUAUUCGGAAGAACACCAGUGGCGAAGGCGGCUCACUGGACGACUGUUGACGCUGAGGUGCGAAAGCGUGGGGAGCAAACAGGAUUAGAUACCCGCGUAGUCCCUGUCUCUUAUAC
rnacentral:rRNA from 1 species